UACAGAGGGUGCUAGCGUUGUUCGGAAUCAUUGGGCGUAAAGGGCGUGUAGGCGGUUUGUUAAGUCAUGUGUGAAAUCCCUCGGCUCAACCGGGGAACGACGCAUGAAACUGGCAGCUAGAGUACCAAAGAGGGGGUGGAAUUCCGGUGUAGCGGUGAAAUGCGUAGAUAAUCGGGAGGAACACCUGUGGCGAAGGCGGCCCCCUGGUUGGAUACUGACGCUGAUACGCGAAAGCGUGGG
rnacentral:rRNA from 1 species